rnacentral:rRNA from 1 species
AUUGAACGCUGGCGGCAGGCCUAACACAUGCAAGUCGAGCGGAUGAAGGGAGCUUGCUCCUGGAUUCAGCGUCGGACGGGUGAGUAAUGCCUAGGAAUCUGCCUGGUAGUGGGGGAUAACGUCCGGAAACGGGCGCUAAUACCGCAUACGUCCUGAGGGAGAAAGUGGGGGAUCUUCGGACCUCACGCUAUCAGAUGAGCCUAGGUCGGAUUAGCUAGUUGGGGGGGUAAAGGCCUACCAAGGCGACGAUCCGUAACUGGUCUGAGAGGAUGAUCAGUCACACUGGAGGUGAGACACGGUCCAGACUCCUACGGGAGGCAGCAGUGGGGAAUAUUGGACAAUGGGCGAAAGCCUGAUCCAGCCAUGCCGCGUGUGUGAAGAAGGUCUUCGGAUUGUAAAGCACGUUAAGUUGGGAGGAAGGGCAGUAAGUUAAUACCUUGCUGUUUUGACGUUACCAACAGAAGAAGCACCGGCUAACUUCGUG